UACGAGAGGCCCAAACGUUAUUCGGAUUUACUGGGCUUAAAGAGUUCGUAGGCGGUUCGGUAAGUGAGGUGUGAAAGCCCUCGGCUCAACCGAGGAAUUGCGCUUCAAAUUGCCGGCUCGAGGGAGAUAGAGGUGAGCGGAACUGAUGGUGGAGCGGUGAAAUGCGUUGAUAUCAUCAGGAACACCAGAGGCGAAGGCGGCUCACUGGGUCUCUUCUGACGCUGAGGCGCGAAAGCGUGGGGAGCAAACAGG
rnacentral:rRNA from 1 species